UUCAAGUUUUGUUAUUAUUGAGAGAGGGGAAAGUCUCUCUCUCUCUCUCUCUCUCUCUCUCUCUCUCUCUCUUCGAAGUGCAAAUCAAACUCUCAUUUUCGAAAUUUCGAAAUCUAGAGAAGUGCUUAGAUUAUCGGUUCUUCUCUAAUGGAGAUUCUUUCGAGUCCGAUCAGCAUUUGUUCAAAGGAGAAUCAGAAGAUCUAUCAGGAAUGGUUUAACUUUGCCGACACAGAUGCCGACGGCCGCAUUACGGGAAACGAUGCGACCAAGUUCUUCGCCAUGGCUAAUUUAUCUCGACCAGCACUCAAGCAGGUUUCUUUCUUCAUAGGUGUGGGCAAUUGCGGAUUCCAAACGUCAAGGGUUCCUUGAUUUUAAUGACUUUGUUGUUGCAAUGCAGUUAAUUGCAUUAGCACAAGCAGGACAUGAAAUUGCACAAGAUAUUCUUAGCAAAGAAG